CCCUGGGUGGUGCAAACAGUUUAUACGUUUGGCUGCUAACCAAAAGAUUGGAGGUUCAAGUCCACCCAGAGGCA
rfam:Loxodonta africana unplaced genomic scaffold scaffold_17, whole genome shotgun sequence.